AUACGGAGGGUGCAAGCGUUAUUCGGAAUCACUGGGCGUAAAGGGUGCGUAGGCGGGGUGAUAAGUCUGAUGUGAAAUCCUAUGGCUGAACCAUAGAACUGCAUUGGAAACUGUCAGACUAGAAUACUGAAGGGGCAGAUGGAAUUAGUGGUGUAGGGGUAAAAUCCGUAGAUAUCACUAGGAAUACCGAAAGCGAAAGCGAUCUGCUGGGAAGUUAUUGACGCUGAGGCACGAAAGCGUGGGGAGCAAACGGGAUUAGAAACCCUAGUAGUCC
rnacentral:rRNA from 1 species